CAGGGCCUCGGCCCAGGAGCACCGUGAGCCCGGCCGGCUCCUCACGGCCCAAGAUGGCGGCCAAGGCACAAAGGAGCCGAACUGAAGGAGAGCUUUUUGGUCUAUUGGUAAAGAGGUCUGAAAGGAAAACCACAGGCUGGAGUGCAGCUCACAGAUGCUGCUAUCAAUGGAAAUGCGUGGAACAACUCAGCCUGCAGCCAGCCAAGGAAAACUGGAAAUGAAGCAUCUGAGCCUCGACAGGGCUGGCUGCGGAACCCAGCCCACAUCUAUGGUGGAAAAAGGGGCUGUUCAACGGGAGCUCUGCCUUCCCACAAAGAACCUUUGUGCUGAGGAGGGCGAACAGAGGCACUUUGUGAGCCGAUGGUGCGAAGGACGGGAGGAGCGUGGGUGCUGUGCGAGCGCAGCGGCACCGGGAGGAAGCCGUACACCUCCUUGUUGCAAACAAACAUCUGCACCUCUACGGAGAAGGCGAAGACGAUGAUGUCGUCGAAGGGCCAGGUGUAGUCGGGGUGAGGAGGGUAGAAGGUGAGCAGCUGGGAUGCCUCCUUCCUCAG